ensembl:lncRNA
CUCUUCUGAAUCUAUUUAUUUUGAGAUUCAGCUGAAACCAGGAUGAGUUGACAGCAUGACAGAAAGAAGCACACAAGAGCUUAUAAGUAGAGUCCUGAAAAGAUGAUUUAAUUUCCAUUCUUUGGAAUGUUACAGCUAUUCAGAGAUAUUACAAAGUAAUCUCUGAUAAAUUGCCUAUGAUUGAAGCAAAUAGGAUUUCACUGAAAAAAGCCCUCUGGUCCCUACUGGGAUGAAAGUCUCUACAAAAGUUCUAAUAAAUGAUGAAGCACUUUUUCUUUUGUUAUCAUGUGUUCCUGAUUUCCUUAUAAAACAGGAACAGGUGGCAACAGAAUCUUCCAUCUCCAAGUAUUUCCCAUGACAUUAAAUCUUACUUAUGGAAUAAACAAGGAUUUCCAUUCUUCUUUAUCCUGGCUCAUCUUUUAAUGUCUUUUUAUGUCACCGAGUCCCAGUAAGACUUAAUUCCCCAAGUCUCGUUGAGCAAAAGGGAUUCUUCUUCUCAAGCACUUUUUCAUGGUCUUCCAAUUUGUCAGUGGUGUACCUGCCACAGCAGAUGUCCUCGCCUCUUCUCAGUAUAAGUUUUGGUUACAUUCAUCUUCUUUUCUAAUAACUGGAGAUAAAAGGGUGUUGAACUCUGCUGCAAGCUUCAGCACUUGUUGUAAAUUGGUUCAAUCUGAAACACAGUCCUUCCCAAUGGCAUUUAUUUUCAGAAGCGUUUACCCAUCUGUCCUCAAGACCAAACUACAAAUCUUGAAAUUGAAUCUUACUGAGGAUGAACCCUACAAAAGUUUUAAUUCCAUCAUGACAUUAGACACAAACAAGAAGUAAGAAAGAGGGAACAAAUAAAUUUUUGAAUUAGUGGAAUAGCUAUAAAUUCAUGUCUGCAGUACUUCAUCUUCUAUUGUUAAACCACAUAUAAAUCUCUUAGUAUGUGUAGUAUAAAAUAUUAAUCUUACGUUAAUAUGUCGUCUGUAUAAGAAACAAAAAAUCCAAACAAAACUGACAAGCAAAUCUUGUUAUUUAUGGCUUAUUCAUUUAUAGUGUCCCUCCUAAGAAUGAUGAUGGAGCACACGUAGAAGCCAGAAAGCCAUGAGAUGUCAGUUACUGGCCGUGCCUUGUAAGAACAACAGGACAAGAGAGAAACCUGAAAAUAAAACCAUCUGCCAAAAACCAUGUAGGGAGGAAACAUCCAAAAUGAAGCAUGUCUUUACAUGUUCUCUACUAUGCUAACAUAAUGACAAUAAAGCAUUACAGUGUUCGAAGCAGUGAGCAGGGAUUUCUAACGACAUCAAUCCCUCCACAAGAGUAGUCCCUCUGGCGUCAUAAAGAGCAUGGCUCACAGGAAUGAGAUCAGAACACAGGAAUAAAAGGACAAAGAAAACAAAAGAAGGACACAACUAUGAUCAAAAUAUUUAGUAAAUGUAAAUUGCUUUCGUGUUGUGGGCUGUUGCUUCAAGCAGAUCUGGAUAAUCACCCAGAAAAUAAUUUUGCUUGCAUAAUGACAAAGUUUAUUUUACUUUUAAAAAAGUCAUCAGUGUUCAUGAGAGGAGGGAGGAGUGCUGGUUUGAAUCAGGCAUGUUGCAAGCAGAUGUUAUGCAAGCUUCCCCAAACAGUCCUGCCAAUGCACUGCAAUCCUGAGUUAUGACAUUCACUGCAUCUGCAGUUUGGGUCCUUUUUUGGGCCACAGCUUCAUCUGUGGGUUUUCCCAAAAUGGGGAUGUUAUUCUUGUGAUGCACAUGAAAACUUUAAGGAGAUCGAAAUGCUAUUUUUCAUUUUCAGACCAGAAAGGAUUUGGUCACCAUAUCUGAAUUACAUGGCUGAUCAGUAGCAAGGACGGAAAUGGGUAAGCACAUUUAUCUAUCAUCACACGGUUGCAGUAGUAGCUCUUUUAGGAAACAUGCCUCUGGGUUCUUUCCCACAACGCAUUUGGUAAAGUACAGCUUCCUGCCAUUUCCUUCCAUUCCAACAAGUCGUUUCCCAAUACCAUUUUCCAAAUCUGUCAUGCAUUUUUCAUUAAAAUACUCCUUUACCCUCUAAGUGUUUGAAAUGGCUACAUAUUUCCAUAACCUCAAAACAAAUAAAUGAAUAAAUGAAGAAUAAAUAAUUGCACUGAGCAGAACUGUGCUUUAGAAAGACUGCAGGUUCUUAAACAGGAGACGAAGUGCUGUUGCUAUUACAGAUUAAAAGCUGUAAGCAGAGAAUGUCAGAUAAUCAAAAGAUGAUCAUUUCUACUUCUGAAGACACCAUACUUAGGAGUACCUCAGAAAAAUGAAAACUUGUCUCUGUAUGCAGAGAUAUUUAUUUUCUUGGAAAUCUAAAUGGCCCAUUUUCCUAUUAUACAUCCUAAUGGAACUAUCGUACGUUUUACAUUUUUAAGUAUAUACUCCACUGUGUGCUUUCAGACUUUAAUCUUGAAAGGAAGUAUGUGGGAGUACGGACGUAAACCAGAAUAACAGUUUUUACAUUUAUUGUUCUCUGUUUAAACAUCAUUGCAAUUUCCACCUUUAAGCACUAAGAAUACUGAUAAAGCCUGUAUGAGCCUAGCAGCCCCAGCCAUGCAAUCAGAAACUGUAUUUCUUUUUGUCAAAGCAGCAGUGCCAAACAAGUCAGACUCACAAACGGAGGCUGUGACUUCAUCACCUACAGCUCUGUGCUGCUAUUAUUGACGGCAGCACCUACAGCUCUAUGCGUCUAUUGCUGAAUUUGCCUUAUAGAGUUCUGGGUUUGGGGGCUUACGUACAUGCGAAUCUUUGGCCCUCUGUAACGUGACUGUUGGAUCUGUGGUAAGAGAGAGAGACAAGAGAGUAAUCGGCUUUCCAAGUGCUGAGCAAUGGACAUCGGACGCGAGCUGAGGCAGCUGGGCAGAGCUGUGAGCGCGCUGUGGGAGAGCCGCACGGCGGGCAGUGCCAGGGCGCAUCGCUGACAGCCCGCCCGUCAGGAUUCCUUCACAGCCAAACUCAGCAGGCUGUGAAAUACGUUCUCCACGCAAAGGGGUGCAUUCCCUAACCCCCGUCCGUGUAAGCCGUGUCGCUGACCGACACGAAGUCCCGUGGCUGAGCAGAGCUCCGGGGGCACUCUCUGGGGCUGUCGCCGCUGCCCCC